GUGGGGAAUAUUGGACAAUGGGCGAAAGCCUGAUCCAGCCAUGCCGCGUGUGUGAAGAAGGUCUUCGGAUUGUAAAGCACUUUAAGUUGGGAGGAAGGGCAGUAAGCUAAUACCUUGCUGUUUUGACGUUACCGACAGAAUAAGCACCGGCUAACUCUGUGCCAGCAGCCGCGGUAAUACAGAGGGUGCAAGCGUUAAUCGGAAUUACUGGGCGUAAAGCGCGCGUAGGUGGUUCGUUAAGUUGGAUGUGAAAGCCCCGGGCUCAACCGGGAACUGCAUCCAAAACUGGCGAGCUAGAGUACGGUAGAGGGUGGUGGAAUUUCCUGUGUAGCGGUGAAAUGCGUAGAUAUAGGAAGGAACACCAGUGGCGAAGGCGACCACCUGGACUGAUACUGACACUGAGGUGCGAAAGCGUGGGGAGCAAACAGGAUUAGAUACCCUAGUAGUCC
rnacentral:rRNA from 1 species